GAUGAAGAACGUAGCGAAAUGCGAUAAGUAAUGUGAAUUGCUGAAUUCAGUGAAUCAUCGAAUCUUUGAACGCACAUUGCGCCCGCCAGUAUUCUGGCGGGCAUGCCUGUUCGAGCGUCAUUUCAACCAUCAAGCCCCAGGCUUGUGUUGGGGACCUGCGGCUGCCGCAGGCCCUGAAAACCAGUGGCGGGCUCGCUGUCACACCGGGCGUAGUAGAUUUUAUCUCGCUCAGGGCGUGCUGCGGGUUCCGGCCGUUAAAAAGCCUUUUUUACCCAAGGUUGACCUCGGAUCAGGUAGGAAGACCCGCUGAACUUAAGCAUAUCAAUAAGCGGAGGA
rnacentral:misc_RNA from 1 species